rnacentral:rRNA from 1 species
GAUGAACGCUGGCGGCGUGCCUAAUACAUGCAAGUCGAGCGAACGGACGAGAAGCUUGCUUCUCUGAUGUUAGCGGCGGACGGGAGAGUAACACGUGGAUAACCUACCUAUAAGACUGGGAUAACUUCGGGAAACAGUAGCUAAUACCGGAUAAUAUUUUGAACCGCAUGGUUCAAAAGUGAAAGACGGUCUUGCUGUCACUUAUAGAUGGAUCCGCGCUGCAUUAGCUAGUUGGUAAGGUAACGGCUUACCAAGGCAACGAUGCAUAGCCGACCUGAGAGGGUGAUCGGCCACACUGGAACUGAGACACGGUCCAGACUCCUACGGGAGGCAGCAGUAGGGAAUCUUCCGCAAUGGGCGAAAGCCUGACGGAGCAACGCCGCGUGAGUGAUGAAGGUCUUCGGAUCGUAAAACGCUGUUAUUAGGGAAGAACAUAUGUGUAAGUAUCUGUGCACAUCUUGACGGUACCUAAUCAGAAAGCCACGGCUAACUACGUG